CAGCUUUUUUUUUUCUUAGAUGGGCUAUUCUUUUUCUUUUCAGCCUUUUUUUAAUAUUUUUUUUCUUGAAUAUUCUUCAAAAGAUUUCUUAAUUUUGAUCUGACCAACAUUUAGGGAUAGAGAUGUUAAAAUGUGCUUGAAACCAUCUAGACAUAAAGAGUAUUAAUUUUUAAAACCCGCUGUGAUAUACUUGUCUAUCAUACUAUCAUGGUCAUCCAAGUAGGAUAUGACUGGUGUGCAUGGAAACGAUAUGACAUCAUACCCUAUCUUUAUAUUUGCCUAUGGACAAGGGAAAUCUUGACUUACUUGUUUACCCUGACUUUUCACAUUAAUUGAGCCAAUAUAGUCUAUA
rnacentral:lncRNA from 1 species